rnacentral:lncRNA from 1 species
AGCAAAUGAAAGAUGGAAUGACACAUUACAAGAUACACUACUAUUUUUCACUUUCCCAAGACCUGAAACACUACAAUGCUUGCGGAUUAACACGAACAUAAACAACAUUAUUUCCUGAACGAAAAGACUAGGGUAAUCCAAAGAAAGGUGAAGAAGCUACAACCCCUGCAUGCAUGCAUGCACUCUGAAUGAUCUCAAGGGAAAGGAACAACACCACUGCCUCCACCGAUGCCGGUUCCAACGCCGCCACCAACACCACCACCAACUCCUCCACCGGUACCACCGAGUCCUCCUAAUCCACCGAUGCCAGUAGUGCCGCCGAGGCCACCACCAAGUCCACCGCCAGCGCCAAAACCACCACCUAUUCCGGCACCAACUCCUCCAAAAGGUAGUCCAUUGCUCCCAAUUCCGGAAUAGCCACCAACUCCACCAUAGGUGAGGAAGUUCUUCUGGUCCUUGAGGCCAGCAUCUGUGGGUGCGUUUCUGGCACUUGUGGCCACAGCCAAAGCAAGAACCAAGACCAAGACACACAACUUAGCCAUGUCUCUCUCUGUUUGUUUCACUCCCACACACUAGGAAUUGACAAUGAGUAGUUGC